UAGGGAAUCUUCGGCAAUGGACGAAAGUCUGACCGAGCAACGCCGCGUGAGUGAAGAAGGUUUUCGGAUCGUAAAACUCUGUUGUUAGAGAAGAACAAGGACGUUAGUAACUGAACGUCCCCUGACGGUAUCUAACCAGAAAGCCACGGCUAACUACGUGCCAGCAGCCGCGGUAAUACGUAGGUGGCAAGCGUUGUCCGGAGUUAUUGGGCGUAAAGCGAGCGCAGGCGGUUUCUUAAGUCUGAUGUGAAAGCCCCCGGCUCAACCGGGGAGGGUCAUUGGAAACUGGUAGACUUGACUGCAGAAGAGGAGAGUGGAAUUCCAUGUGUAGCGGUGAAAUGCGUAGAUAUAUGGAGGAACACCAGUGGCGAAGGCGGCUCUCUGGUCUGUAACUGACGCUGAGGCUCGAAAGCGUGGGGAGCAAACAGG
rnacentral:rRNA from 1 species